GUCGAGGGGUAUAGUUCUUCGGGAUUAGAGACCGGCGCACGGGUGCGUAACGCGUAUGCAAUCUACCUUUCACAGAGGGAUAGCCCAGAGAAAUUUGGAUUAAUACCUCAUAGUAUAAUGAGUUGGCAUCAACACAUUAUUAAAGUCACAACGGUGAAAGAUGAGCAUGCGUCCCAUUAGCUAGUUGGUAAGGUAACGGCUUACCAAGGCUACGAUGGGUAGGGGUCCUGAGAGGGAGAUCCCCCACACUGGUACUGAGACACGGACCAGACUCCUACGGGAGGCAGCAGUGAGGAAUAUUGGACAAUGGGCGCAAGCCUGAUCCAGCCAUGCCGCGUGCAGGAUGACGGUCCUAUGGAUUGUAAACUGCUUUUGCACAGGAAGAAACAACGCUACGUGUAGCGUCUUGACGGUACUGUGAGAAUAAGGAUCGGCUAACUCCGUGCCAGCAGCCGCGGUAAUACGGAGGAUCCAAGCGUUAUCCGGAAUCAUUGGGUUUAAAGGGUCCGUACGCGGUUUAGUAAGUCAGUGGUGAAAGCCCAUCGCUCA
rnacentral:rRNA from 1 species